GACCAUGAUCUAACUAACGUGAAAUCGACCAAAGAAAGAUCCAGUUAACCGACCAUGGACUGACAUGAUAUCUAAAUAAUGCUUAACGUCCACGGGAAGCACUCCUUUUCCUCUGUGCAGGGAAGAUGAACGGCUCUUCAGGUAUCGACAUAUCCACUCUUUGAAUAACGACAGAGAGAAAGCGAAAGAGAGAGCUGGUGAUGUGUCAUCAAAUACUGCACCAACGUGCGAGACAUGAGCAAGUUCUUCAAAAGCGGUCGCAGGAAGACAGAUGGAUUACAUGAAAUAUCUGAAAUAUCUGAAAUAUCUUAGACGGGUCUGGAUAAGGAUCCUACGUAUGGUAGCCACUGUAGUUGAGUGCCAGAAUGACGAGGGCUCUCGACGAUUCAUCUUCUUUCUUCUUGUUGGAGUAGCUAAGGUGGGUUUGACAGUCCACCGAGACUCCUGGAAUCCCUGGGCUUGUCGGCAGGACUACUGGAGCAUUCACUCCAAAGGAGACAGGUGGAAUUGCAGAUACAUCCCCACUGAAUGAUCUUUGUUGAAGAAGGGGUUCGGGCGAGCAGUUGUUAAUGGGUUGAAGGUGUGGCCUACGAUCAGAGAAUCACAUAUGUCGGAGGAGGAGAAAUAGCACUUGUGGAUGCAACACUAGAGGCGCCAUAGCAAUGUAGAGUAGUAGUAGAAGAAGAUAGUCAUCGUUUGCCAAGGAGGAAAGUGUUGAUCUGAUCAACGUUACUGGAGAUGACGAAUCUAGGCGGGACCAGAAGUUCCAUUUGAUUCUGCCAUGGCAAGGAAGAUGAUGCAGUGCUUGCAACACCUGUGCUUCCCUUAGGAGUAUCGUCCGCUAGGAAGAGAGAGAGGAAAGAGAGAUGCUGUAGUUCUUGUCGUAGAUCUGUGAGAGAUUUAUAGUUCUUGUCAUAGAUCUAUGAGAGAUCUACAAUACUUGCCAUAGAUCUGUGAGAGAUUUGUAGUUCUUGUCGUAGAUCUGUGAAAGAUUUAUAGGUCUAAGAGCGGUUCAUGGUCCACACCAAGUGCGUCAACCACUCGCUGUUCAGGAUGCUGCUCGACGAGGCAGAGAAGGAGUUCAAGUACACCGUCGUUGGGCUGCUCAAGCUCCCCUGCGGUGUCAAGCUCUUCCAAAGGGUAUUGUGCGAGAUGGAGCAGGACGCGACGAAGCUACACUUGCCUCGGUGCAACUUCGCCAAAGGCCAUGCCUAGGGCGCUAUUGCAGUGCAGAGCCUAACAAACGUUUGGUAAGGAUGGCUACCUCUUGGAAGCAUGAUAGUGAUCGGGAAUCAGUAGUGACGAGCAAGAAGCAGAGAGCUGCCUGUUAGGACCAUUUUUCUGAGCUUUUGAAUAAUGUUUAUUGAGUCUGUUUAGUCCAUUUGUUUAUUGAGUCGGUUUGGUUCAGUUAGAGUCAAGUAGAGAUUUAUCUAAUAUUUAUUUAUUAUUAGAGUUGAUGGACUCU